UACUGGUUGAAUUUAAAAAUUAACGAUAUGAACACAAGCCGGCUCACGAACAAUAAAUUAUAUUAUUAACUCUACUGCUCGAUGAAAAGUUGAAAGAAAAUUAAAAUUUUAAUUUAAUAAUUAAAAUUUGCAGAAAUACAGUAUGAGACUUCAGAUAGUCUUAAUGUAAAAUAUAAUAAAACUAAAACUCUUAAUCCGACUUAAGUAUUUUGGACAAUGGUUAGCUCCAAAAAGUCAAGCACCCAUUUGGUUCGGGGUUCAGGGGUGGAAUAACUCCUUAACUCCAAAGUUACUCCCGAAUAGCCAAUUUGGAGAUAGGGAUUAGCUAAUCCCAUCCCAAAUAGGCUAUUCCGGAAUAGUCCAUUUGGAGUAGGGUUAGCUAACCCCGACCCCACCCCGCUACUCCAACCAAACAAAAUACUAUUUUACCCACUAUCCUUCUUAUCCCACCUACUCCAACCAAACAUUAUUUUAUCUAUAUCUGGACUAAACUCAAUUCUCAACCAAAUGUAAAAUUACUCUAACCCCAUUUUAAUACUGAACUUAAUUCUAUUCCUGAAAUAACAAGUUUUUACUUAAUCCCGAACCAAACGGUGACUAAAAGAAUUAAACAUGAUAGGACGGGAGUAGUUCUAGAAUGAAUGAUCUCCUGAGAAAGUCGAGACGUCACAUACUGUUGGAACAAAUACCGCACAGAAAUCUAAUUGUGAUUUAAAUCUAACUAAAUUUUAUGAUGAAAAUAAAUAAAUCAACUUACAGAUGAUCGCUAAAUCCAAAUAAAUACUUAAUUGAUCCGGAAGCGUGUGAGGCACUGCCCUAAGGCGUAUUCCCGUCCUUACGUGCGGGAUUAACCGGGAAUAACACCCCAAGGUACGACCGGAAUUCCUCCUCCUGCGAGCACGAUCGUGAAGAAGGUUGACGGAGACUCUUUCAACACCCAGAGAUAAAGGAAUCAAGAAAAUAGAAAAUUGAAGGAAAAACUUAAAAAAAAACUAUUUUCCACUUGUUAUUUUCACUACUGUUCAUAUUGUACUAUGGACAGUAGACCAAAAACAUAUAUAGAGGGGAAUGGAAAAAGUUAACGUUGGGAGGUUAACUUUUCCUUAAUUAGGCCCAUUAAGGGGCUGUUUGGUUGUACGCAUUUGCAACUGCAGUGCAGUUGCAAAUGCGUGCAGCCACAAUUUCUUUGUUUGGUUUAGUGUAGUUGAGUUCAACUGCUGCAGUUCCAACUGCACAAGAAGGCCCAAAUGCUGCAGUUGGAACUACAUCCAAAUUGGUCGUAGUUCCAACUGCAGCAGUUGGUGAGGGAUAGGAUCACCCACAAAUUAAUAAUAAUAAUAAAUAAAUAAAUAGCUAAAUAAAUAAAUAAUAUAUGUAUAUAGGUAAAUAAAAAUACUUAUAAAUAAACUCAUACUAAUAAAAUUUUUUAGACAAUACAAGCUUUGUGCAAAAAAUUAAUUUUUUUAAAUUUAUUUUAUUUAAAAUAUAAAUAUAGUUUUUUUAAAAAAUUUUUAUAGAAUUGAUCGUGUAUGUUAAUUUAAUAAUUUUUAAUUAAUUAUAAUAUUAAAUUGAUAAAAAAAAUGAGAGAAUCACUUAAAGUUUGAUUUACAUAUUAAAAUUAAAAUAAUUAAAAUUUUAAAUGUGUCGAUUAAUAAGUUGAAGAAUUAUUGAAAAAUAUAAAAAUAUUAUAUAUUCUACUUAUUUAUUUAUAAAUAGUAAAUUUAAAUAAUUAAUAAAUUUAUAUAAUUAUUUAUGUUUAGUGAAAGUAACCUCACCACUCUAUCUAAAGAGGUGACAAAAUUCAUAAUACAAACUAUCAGCUUCAUAUUACCAAACAGAAGAAAUGUAACUGCGAGCAGUUGUAACUGCGUAAAACCAAACAGACUAGGUGUAGUUAUAACUGCAGCAUUUGCAACUGCUUGUAUUUCCAACUACACUGUUUCUGCAACUACAUCCAACCAAACGGCCCCUAAGUGGAAUAAAGAAGUAAUAAAUUAAAUUAAAUUCAUUCAAUUAAUUAACAUAAUAAAAGACAAUUAAUGAGAAUAAAAUAAUUAAAUAAUAUUUAGAGAUUUUGGAUUUUACACCAACAAUCCCCCACAAAAAUUCAAAAUCUCAAAAUUAAACUAAAAAAUUAAAAUAAAUAAAUGUACAAACCAAGUCACCGUGUUUAUACUAUGCAAUAGGCGAGGUGUCUUUAAGAGAUUUAACCUCACUUAGUGUUAGCAGUUUCCAUCAGAAGAAUCGGAGUGAAACCAGGUCUUGAACUACGUUCCUUUGUCCUGAUUCAACUACCAACACACACAGUACAUGAAUUUCCGUCGCGGGUCCUGUUGCGUUAAUGGCCAUGCACAGUACCUUGAUUUUUCAUAAGAGUUUCUAUGUAUAGCCCAUUCACAUAGCCGCGGCCACAUACGGAUACUCUUAUAUAGGUGGUUUCCUCCAGAGAUGUGUGUAGAGUCACAUCUCGCGAAAAUUAUCGCCUUGGAUCCCAUUAAGAGCUCUCAGCUCAACCUCAACCACUACACAGAGCACUACUCACCAUAGGGAUAGGAUUGGAGCUAAAGCUCCUCUAUAUAAACAGUAGACAGUGCUCUUUGGCCAACCUGACAGCUUGUUUUUACCACAUUGAACCUUCUUCAAGGGAUCUCCUAUCACAAAGGUUGGGUUCCCACUGCAGGAAGGCCCUUUACGGGCAAAGUCCCAUUCCCCUCGAUGAAUCCAGGACCUUAGUCCUAUUCAAGCCGUUCGUCAAAUAAUCUACAAAAUUCUGUUCAGAUCUGAUAAAAAUCAAAUAAAUAAUAUUAUGAAAAUAACCAUCUAAUAAAUUUAUGUCUCAAAAUAAUUUACCUGCCAAUCUUAGAAUUUGUAAAAUUUGUUUCCAAGAUGAACACUAGGAUAAUGUCACGCCCCGAGACAGCUACCAAUUUGGUCCGGCCCCGGGCGCGCCGAACAGACGCCGAACGGACAGGACCUCCCCUGUCCGUCCAAGGCUAACCAACGGAUCAUGUAUAAGAAUUUACCCAGGAAUUAAUUCAUAAAUACACGAUCAAGAAGCACCACCAGUGCAACAAAACGAGAGCAAGAAUACAAGUAUAAAAACAUAUACAAGUACAUAAAGAGAGAAGAGGCUAUCUAUUACAGUCAUUUGACUUAAUACAUUUAAUUACAUCUUUUACUUCUUCCAAAAUAUGAAUACAAUCACUCAAACCUCACCCUAUACAACAUCUACUCUCAAAUACAAAAAGGGUGACAGCUAAUGCAAAAAGGGAGGUAGCUAAUGCGACUAGAGCGCCGGGCCCUUACCACGAUCCUCACGCUCGCCGGGGAUGCCCGAGCUAGAACCUGUAAAAAGUGGGGUGAGAACUAACUUCCUUAGUUCCCAGUGGGUUCGGCCGCCGACUCCGCCGAUCUCCCCACUAGGUCCAAGCGGGCAAAAGUAGCUAAUCGAUAGAUAGAUAGAUAAGGAAAGCUGUAAAGACAGGAAAGUAAAGCUACACUACUAUGCCCAAUCAUGGAUACAUGAAUGCAUGUUCAAUAAAACGGUAAGCAACUAACCUGUCGUCAUGUCAAAGGUAAAGCUAUGUACUUAUUCAUCAAUGUCAUUUAUUUGUUUCUUAAUCUCAUGGCUUCCCUGAAGGAGCCUACUGCUCACUAGCCAUCUCGAAGGUAGGGAGGGUCAACUCGCACUACGAACCGAGACCGUCUGCCGGGGCCUAAAUAGGCAAACCCUUGGGACCCAAAAUAGGCGAUCCCACGUGACCAACAUCCGGAGCGCACUACUUGUGUGGGGCUUCCAUCACAAGAUUUAGAAACAGACCGUGAGCAUGAUCUAAUCCUCGUCUCGAGAAUACCCUAUCCUCUAGGGUUACAAUCAUCAUAUAGUCCAUAGGUUUCACAUACACUACGACUCAUAUGUGUCAUUGUUCUUUUGCUUACUAUCAACUAAAUUACCACUCGUCCACUGUACUGUUUACUAUCGACUAGAUGCCACUCGUUCUUUGUUUAACAUUAGACCAACCAUUAAGCCCAUCUCUUUCUUUGCACUAUAGGAUUCACAAUCUCGACCCAAUCCUUAUCGAUCCACUAUAUCAAGUAUCAAAUUCAUGCUACGAUAUCAAGGAAAGCAUAAGGAAAGGAAAUGCACAAUCCUCCUAUAAUGCAAUAAUACAAGAUGCAAGAAUCGACAUGUACUAAGACAUAGAAGGGAGCCCGAUUGCUUCGGGAUGGACACCACCCACCUCUUGGCGAUGUCGCGAUGAUAGAGAACUCGACGCUGGGGUCCUUGCACGCCGCUUCAACUCCUCGGGGCGAAGCGAGCCCUCGAGUACCCGAUUCGGCGAUAACUCCGCACUCGCUCGUCGGAUCGGCAAACCGUCUUCGCCGACGCGUUCCGAGACCUAGCAAUUUGGUUUACGACCUAUUAAAAUAGAUCAAAACCCUAGAUUUACCAAAGUCCCAAUUCCGUGCCCUAGAAUGGCAACGGGGAAGAAAUCCGUGGUGCGAGCUUCGAUUUCGAGCUCGAACCACCUAUUCAUCUCCUCUAGGUUCUAUUCGAACCAAUUCUAAGCAACAAAACCCAAUCCUAAAAAAUCUACCAUGGAUGGGUUUGGAGUUUACCUCUAAGCCAAGCUCCAAGCUUGCCCUAGCUUGAAAGAGAGAGAGAAGAAGACCUUCUUCUUCUUCUUCUUGAACUUCUCCUUCUACUUCUUCCUCUUUUCCUUCCUUUCUUUCUUCUCCUUCUUCUUCUCCUUCUUUUCUUUCUAGAGAGAGAGAGGGAAGAGUGUAAGAGGGAGAGAGAGCAAAUGAGAGGGAGAGAGGAGCCCCAAGCCUCUAAUAAAGGCCAUUUUGCAAAUAGCCCCCUCAACUUUCCAUUCCUGAAACAGCUCUCCCUGGGCCAUUUUCGCAGUGAGGGACCGGUCCCAGCUCGGGGAGACCGGUCCCCGAAGGCUGCCAUUUCGAGCAGAGGGGAUUUCGCGUUCGGGAACCGGUCUUUGCCUGAGAGAACGGUCCCCGGGAGACCGGUCCUUGUCCGAGAGACCGGUUCCCGAAAGCUGAGUUUUCGGGACUUAGCCAAAUUUCGGCUAUUUUCGCUGGGCCAACGUUCGGGAACCGGUCCCUCACCACCCGGGACCGGUCUCAUCAGAGACCCCCGCAGCCCAGCCUGAUGGAACCGGUCCCUGCCUGCCAGGGACCGGUCCCCGAGAGAAAUUCUGCUCCAUUGCAGAUUUUGCACUGGUGCUCCCGCGGACCCUUCUUUAAUGCACUUUAUGCAUUAUAAACACCUUCGGACCUUCCGAAGCCUACGCACUCGACGAAUAGUCGAUUCUAGUCGAAGUCUAAUCCUCGAGUUUCGAGAAUUCACUUCCUAACAGAUAAAAUCAUGAGAGCAAUUAUAAUAUCAAAAUCUAUCAAACUGAUAAAAGAUUUCCCCCCACAAGUUUUGCGAUAUAUCAAAACUUAAAAUCAUGAGGUUAAUCAUGUCUAAUGGGGUUUGGUUCAACAGCAAAUAGAUGACCUAAACAAUUUUUUUUUAAAAUUUUAUCUCAAUUAGAUCUUUUCAUUACAAAAUAUAAUGCAAGCAAUAUGCAUCAAACAAAAUGAUUACUGUAAAGUGGUGCUGUUGGUUACACGACUUUUGUUCAAAGACUGUGCUUAAACAAACUGUGGGUUUCAAAUCCCAAUAUUGAAACAAUAACAAUAAUAUUUAAUAAUAAAGCUUAAAGAAAUCUAACCUCUUUUUUUUUUCUUUCUUUUUUUUUUUUUUUAUAAAGUCACAAAAUAGUAUAUGUAUUUGCACAGGAAAAUUUUUUACUGUAGUAGAUCUUUUUUUAAAAAAUAAAUAUCUGUACAACUUGUCUUUAAAAUACUGUAGCACACAUAUAUAUAUAUAUUACCAAAGAAUUUUACUGUAGCAAAACUCUAAAAUCACACUCUAAUAAAAUUAUUUUUACUAUAGCAAAAUUAUUAUUAUUAUUAUUUAUCAAAGAAUUUUAGCAAAAGACAAUAUUUAUAUAUAUUAACCCUAUUUCUUGGUCGGAAAAAUCAGGAAAUAGUUUUUAUAUAUAUACACACACGCGCAAAGAAAUCCAACAUUAAAACGUAUUUUACUGUAGCAAAAUUGUUUAAAAUUAAUUUUGCUGUAGCAAAGCUUUUUUUUUUUUUUAAUCACCAAAUAAAUUAUAAUUUCAACGGUAAGUUAAAUAAUAUACAAUUACAUAUUAAAGUGCUAAUCUCUAAAAAAUUUAUGUUUGAAUGCCAAUUAUACAAACAAGUUAACAAACAAAUUAACAAACAAAUUAUAUACAUAUAAAAUUAAUUUAAUACGGAUUAGUACUCGUUAGAUUUCAAUCACAAUCAAAUCGGAAUACGCCUUAGAUUGUUGGAACAAAUACCGCACAGAAAUUUAAUUGUGAUUUAAAUCUAACUAAAUUUUAUGAUGAAAAUAAAUAAAUCAACUUACAGAUGAUCGCUAAAUCCAAAUAAAUACUUAAUUGAUCCGGAAGCGUGCGAGGCACUGCCCUAAGGCGUAUUCCCGUCCUUACGUGCGGGAUUAACCGGGAAUAACACCCCAAGGUACGACCGGAAUUUCUCCUCCUGCGAGCACGAUCGUGAAGAAGGUUGACGGAGACUCUUUCAACACCCAGAGAUAAAGGAAUCAAGAAAAUAGAAAAUUGAAGGAAAAACUUAAAAAAAAACUAUUUUCCACUUAUUGUUUUCACUACUGUUCA
rnacentral:lncRNA from 1 species